GAGGUUUUAGCUUAAUAAAAGUGUUUGAUUUGCAGUCAUAAGAUGUAAUUUAGAGUAUUACAGGCCUU
rnacentral:tRNA from 1 species